AAAGAACAGCUAUAGCAAGUUCUCAUAAAAUGUGGUAUUUGUAACUGAUGUUGGGGUGUAAAGGAUCUUCUUUGGCUCCACAACUGAGAAACCUCGUUUUGAAAGCAGGAGUGUGGUUUAUGGAUACCACUUACUGUUCUGAUCAUAAUAAGGAUUGUUUCCUAUUCUUUCUUUCCAGUGGGGAGCCUGUUUCUCUCUCAGGUGAACUGGCAGAUGAGCUCCUGAGCUGUACAUCCUUCCUCGGCCCCUUUCUAGCAAGGACUUGCUCUUGCAUUUGAGGCCAGCAGUGGAGCUUUCCUUGAACGCAGCCCUCUGUUACAAACCAGCACAGUGGAGUAUCACCUCUGGCUCUGGCAGCUACAGCAUCUCAGCCCAUCACAGCUUUGCAAUUUCCAGCUGAAAUUCUGUUCUCAUUUUGUUGCUAUUUACAGUUUGCAAUGUGAAAAUAUAACACAGCUGAUGUGAAUUUUCUUUGCUUUGUUUUAAAUUAGACAUAUAGUCAGGUUGCGGUGAUGAUUGCAGUAGCAUGUAUUUUCUUUUUUUCUGUUUAGGUUGGAUUUACGCUGGCCCAUCAAGUUGGUGAUGUCGUUUCUUUCCUCUACGUUCGAAGCCUUCGCCUUAAGGACUUUUCUUUAAUUAUGGGAUUCUAUUUCAGAAAAGGAAAACAGUUUUAAGAAUAAUUCGCAGUGCAAAUCUCUUGCAUCUGGCUAGUUACAAUGUUCAGACUGGACUUUCUCCCUUUCUGAUUAUCUAUUUUCCAGGGUAAAAUGGAUCAACUGUGUAGUUGAGGGAAAUCUUGAUCAAUUUGGUAAGAAAUGCCCAUAGUGCCUAUGGUGAUUUGCAAUGGUCUUAAGUAUAGAAGACAGAGCAGCUGACUGAAAUUCACAGGGAGAAAAGUGACAUAGCUGUUAUCCUGCAAGUGAGACCAACCCAUAAGAGAGAAGUAGUAAUAAUUUUUGCCCACACAUUUCCCAUAAUUUGACCUACAUGUUGAGAAGAAAAUCCUGAAAUCCUUUGUUAUCAAUUGUUUCUUCAAGCUUUUAUAUUUUCCUUGACAUUUGGCUUACUCAGUAGGCCUGCCUUGUGAAUGAGUUCAUUAAGGACUGUGGUAUCUCGACAUCAGAGUGCUGUUAAAUGUACCUGAGGAUAUCAUGUGGGAAAUGAAAUGUUUUCUUGAAACUUUGUUCCAAAAUGUUUUUAUUUUUUUUAUUACUGACCUGACAGUAAUGGUGGUGUUCUUGAACUGAGCUAUGUAUUUGGGUUUGUCUUAAAACCAACCAACAAAAAAUCACUGAGAAUCUUUAAUAUUCAUGCCCUAAACACUGGAGGGAGACGGGGGAUCCAGACCAAAACCCAUGAAUGUAUUUCUUUUUAUUUGGUGUACAGAUAUGUGGCUCUCUUUCUUCAGUGUAAAGUUCCUUUAACAUAUUGGAAUACUUAAUAUAUUGAUUAUUUAAAAUUAUUGAAAAGUUCACCGCGCCUCUUGAAUGUUCAAUUCCUUUACCAUUCCCCUAGGCAAUGGCUGCAUUUAUGUUGCACUUAAAGCUAAGAUGACCUCUUUCUGGAGGCACAGUCAGCACACUUUUUCUUUUAGUGAAAAGAAAUUAGAAUGCAAAAGUAAAGGAGAUGAUGAACAUAAAACCUUAAAUGCUGGUAAAAUUGUGAAGUAGCAUGUAUGAAUUAGAUGGAAAGAGGUUACUCCCUAAUUUCUCUCUAAAAAGUUGCAUUUUGUGACUUCUGGUGGCUGAAACAUCUUUAGGGUUAAGAAAAGUUUUAGAACUAGAGGAGAUCACUUGAUAACUCCAGUAUUUGCAGAGCUCUGGAUAAUUAAACUCCUCGUUUCUAUUUGGUAGAGGAAGAACAGUGAGUACUUUGAAUUUCACUCUCAUUGCAUUUCAGCACUCUUUGGCAUCUCUUACAGAUUCAUUACAAAGACUGAGUGGACAAGGAAGAGGCAGUUGCUGUAGCAGCCAGUGGCUGUAGAGGAAUAAAAAAAAAAUGUUGGGGAGGAUGAAAUAGUGG
rnacentral:lncRNA from 1 species